GACGAACGCUGGCGGCGGGCUUAACACAUGCAAGUCGAACGGAAAGGCCCUGCUUUUGUGGGGUGCUCGAGUGGCGAACGGGUGAGUAACCCGUGAGUAACCUGCCCUUGACUGGGGGAUAACUUCAGGAAACUGGGGCUAAUACCGGAUAGGAGCUCCUGCUGCAUGGUGGGGGUUGGAACGUUUCGGCGGUUGGGGAUGGACUCGCGGCUAAUCAGCUUGUUGGUGGGGUAGUGGCUUACCAAGGCUUUGACGGGUAGCCGGCCUGAGAGGGUGACCGGCCACAUUGGGACUGAGAUACGGCCCAGACUCCUACGGGAGGCAGCAGUGGGGAAUAUUGCACAGUGGGCGGAAGCCUGAUGCAGCAACGCCGCGUGCGGGAUGACGGCCUUCGGGUUGUAAACCGCUUUCGCCUGUGACGAAGCGUGAGUGACGGUAAUGGGUGAAGAAGCACCGGCUAACUACGUG
rnacentral:rRNA from 1 species